UUCCCAGCACCCCGAUCUGGCGCGCCUCCACCCACCUCCGUCGGCCACCGGCGUGCCGCCCACCCCAAGCCACCGGCGCCACGCCUCCACCCACCGCCGCCGGCCGCAGCGCCCCGCAGCCCCCACUGCCGCCUGCCGUCGGCGGGGCCUCCCCCAAUCCCCACGCGGCGCGUCCUCCCGAGCUACUCGAUGCGCCGUCGUGGUCCGCCUCAACCUCCCACCGGCCUCCUCCCGCGACGCUGCCGCCGGCCUCUCAAUCGCGCGUGCCCGCCGCAUCCACCGAAUCGAGCGCCGUCGCCCGCCCCGACCACGCAUGCCGCCGCCUCAAGGACCGGGUUACAGGCCCAUGUCUCCGGCGAAGCUCGUUCAGGGGUCCGACGCCGUCGGCAGGGGUCAGAUGCCUUGGUCCCGUGACCUCCGGUCGCCGUAUCCCGCCUGCAUGCGUCCCUCGCCGACGCAUCUCCAACUCACCAUGGACAGCUUCCUCGUCAGGCUUGAACUUCUUCUCCAGCCUCCACCCUGCUAGCCUAGCUGUCCUCUGCCUCUUGUCACCUCCGGCUCCCCAACCUCCUGCCUCAGGCAAACAAAAAUGGGCACAUUAUUUUGCUCGGCACUGAUGUGCAUGUCGCCGCUCGUCAUUGCAUCCUCCAGCUCAACCCCACCGUUGCAGUCCAACGACUCCAGUUGCAGCCGUUCGCCACUGUCGUGCGAGGUAAGAUGGAUCUCAACAUCUGGCUCAUCCCUGUCGCAGCCAUGGCUCCCGGCAGGCCGCUGCCUUGUGACGAGGACGCCGGCCUUGCAUCCUCCCGCACGAACCCCACAGUGCGCCGCCACCGGGACCUGGCCUGCAAAGCACAGUUUUGGUUGUAUGGGGGCCGCUGUGCUCGCGAAAUGUGUGCGGGCUAAUUGACGCUGAUUGAAGCUCAUCUCCUCCCUCGCGUAUGCAUCAACAAAAACUGUGUGGGCUCGCUCCAGUCCAAGUUGUGCCACAGCAGUAGGGCGACUCUUCCAGGACGCAUCUCAUCUCAACCAGCUCCAAUUUUGCGCGCAUGGGGUGGUGCUGCUCCAGCAAGCUCCUUCGUCCCCGGCCCGUCCCUGAAUGCGGAUGCAGCACCGCAGGUUCAAGUUCACCAUGCGUCCCUGACGUAGCGCUGCUCCGGCUCCUCCCCCGCUUGCUGCCAGGUCUGUCUCUCCUUCCUCCCCUGCUCGCUGUCUUGUGCGGAGGUGGACGCGGCUACCUGACGGAGUGAAGCCGGCCUCCUAGCACCGACAGUUGCAAAAAAUAAAUAACAACAACAAGUUCAGAAUCAGAAAAAUGAGAAGUUCAAGAAGAACAAAGUUGGCCUGCAGGGACAACCAUGUUGAUCAUGAUUGAAAAAGGAUUGUGAAAUAAUAUUAUUGAGACUGAAGGCCAAGUUUGAUGCACGAUGUCAGAGGAUUCCAAGUCUUUUUCUGAGGCGGUUGAUGGCUUUCAAGAGAUGCGUUCAUAUCUCACAAGUUUCCAGAGGUUCAAGUUCAUCUAUAUAAGGAAUGCCAAUUUUGUUGCACAUCUGUGUGAAAAGAGGCACUAAACCUUAAUGUACUUGCUAUUUCUUUUCUUGUAACGACUACCUACCUAAUGGAGACUAUUCAAUCAUAGUUAUUUUUGCCUGCCAUGCCCCAGCACCUCCUCCAUCUCGGUGCCACCAUCACAACCCAGCCUCCAUUUGCUGGUUGCUGCUAGCUGUUGUUGCUGUGGCUUGCCUCGCCCUCUAGCUAAUGUUGGUGCGCUACUGUUGAAGUUCAACUAGAAUGCUAGGGAGGGAUUUCUGCGAGAGUUUAGCUACUAUAGUCCUUGGUUUUGUGUUUGAACUUGCUAUUGUCCAUGGUUAAAGAUUAUGAUGUUGCUUUUCUACAGAUGGUCUUCCUGUAGAUAUAUCAU